UUCACCAGGUUGGCCAGGCUGGUCUCAAACUCCUGACCUCACAUGAUCCAUCUGCCUCAGCCUCCCAAAGAGUGUUUUUACAGGUUCCAUCCCUUAUUCCUCCCUUAUUCCUGGAGUCAUCUUAGGGAAAUUUUCUGACAUUUUAUUGCCAUCUGUAAAGUAGAGAGAAAGAUUACUUGCUUGCUUGCUGAGGACUAAUGAGAUACAAUUUUGAGAAGUCAUUUUUUUCAUCCCAACAAUUUUCACCAACCAUGAUCACACUAAAUUUGUCUUACUCAAAAACAGGCAUAAUGUAAUGCUGUUAAGAACAUAUUAUUCUAAUAUUCAGUCCAGAAUUCCUCUCUGUGAACUGUUUCUGUUCAGAAUCCGUGUUCAUAAAUGCUGGGAGUGUGUCAGCUGGUGACUCCAGAGGAAAGGGGAAGCCACUAUGCAUGAGGUAAAAGGAGGAAUGUGUUGUUUUGCUACUGAGAAGGACUGGGGAGGGGAGUGGAAUAAAGGGUGGGAGCAGAGAAGAGACAUGCCAGCAAAAUAAAAAAGCAGGUGCUGCAGAGAAAGAGCCAGGAGAGAAACUUCUGGUGGUGAGUGUUAAAAAUGGACUUGGGGGACAGGACAGUAUAAUAAGUGAUGAGCUUUUGCCCCUUGUCUCUCUAGUCAUCAGGAAAGUCUAUUGUGCUUAUAAAUGCUUUGUUUCAAUUUUUGGCAAACACAAUAAAGGAGCUGUUUAAUAUCUGGUAGCACCUCAUGCUGACCCUGAUGUAAACAAGAAACAAGAGCCCAAGAAGCAGAGGAAGUUAGGAGAUAGUAAGCUGUCCAGAAAUUAGCCAACAAUCAUGGAAUGGCUCUAGACUUCUGUAGCAAAUGGAAAUAUGAGGUUAAUUCCAGGUUUAUGUAAAUCACCAAGGGUUAGAUGAACUCUCAUAUGGCAUGUUACACCAAUUUGUAAGGACAUCAGAAAACAGUUCACAUUGUUUCAAAGUUGGCUCCAUAAGCGGGCAAUUAUUUUUAAUAUAUAUCAGGGCUUAGAACAUGAUACCCCAAAAUAUGGCACCUUGGCAUAAGCAGAAAGCUCACUCUCUUUCUCCAACCUUCUCUCCUCAGGCCAUAAAAAUCAUUCUCUAUCCCUCCAUGUGGAGAAUGAAGACCUUUUGGGACACCUUGUACCCAGAGAAAAGGAAUGAAAAUACAUACAGCCAGAGCAGAAUCUGAACAAACAGGUGGUCUCUGUAAUUGGAAUUGGAGGUGUGAAGGGAGUUCACAUUCACACAGAGCCUGCUGAAGUAAGGUAAGCCUUACUUACACAGGCAACUUUUAACUGUGAUGAUACCUCAGUAAAAUGUUAUGCAACUUCGGUGUCUUUUAAAUAUUCUGUGACACUUUCAGAGGAAAUAUUCCAGUACAUAAAAUUAUCUCUUGUGUUACCUGAGAGAAUGACAACGCUGUUUUAAAAAUUACUCUGAAAUUCCUAGAAAAUCAAACCAAACCAAAAACCUCACUAUGUUUUUUUAUUUUCCCGGUAAAUAAAUAUUUUUUCUUUGUCAUAUUUAGGUUGUGGUGAGAGUUACGUAGUAUGUCUGAGAGUACAUUAUUUACCAUAAAUCUUUGUACAGACACUCCUAUUUUUAUUAGCUAUUUUCAAAAUAUCAGAAACUAAUAAUUCCCCUUCAUUUCCACAGAGCAAUAGUGAUCCUAGACCAAAUUCAUUCUUUUCCUCUCCAAAUUGGUUAUGAUCCUACUUCAGUUUGGUGCACUAUAUUUAGGCAUGAAGGACAAGGAGAGACAAGCUGUCACUGGUCAACAACAGCAGCAGCAACAACAAAACAGAUACAAGGGCUUUUCAGGAAUCAAACUUUACUUAUACAGCCAAUAAAACCCCCUUGGGAAAACUGGCCUCAUAUCUUGUCUACGCCAUCCCUGUAGAGAAUUCCUGACCUAUGGACAUGCAACUUCUCAACCUUCUAAAAAUGGGGUUUCCUAAUAGCUUGGGACCAGCCAUCUAGCAAUAAACCAUUGUAACCAUGAGAGAUCAGACAAAACCUGACACCAGAGACUCAUUUUCUUUUAAAAUGCUUUCUCCAAAAUAUUUUUAAAAGGAAAGGAGGGGGGAAAUGUAAUAGGAAAAGAAAUCUUGGGGCGCCAAAAGUCACUAAGCUAAAGGGAAAAGUCAAGCUGGGAACUGCUUAGGACAAUUCUGCCUCUCUCCUCACUGAGGUAAAACACAUUUCUGAUUGCCUCCUUUGAAAAGGCUAAUCAGAAACUCAGAAGAAUGCAACUGUUUGUCUGUUACCUACCUGUUACUUGGAAGCCCCCUUUCUGCUAGAGUUGUCCCGCCUUUCCAGACGAAACCAGUGUAAAUCUUACAUAUAUUGACUGAUGUCUCAUAUCUCCCUAAAAUGUGUAAAAUCAAAAUGUGACCCAACCACAUUGGGCACAUGUCAUCAGAAUCUCCUGAGGCUGUGUCACGGGCAUGCAUCCUCAACCAUGGCAAAAUAAGCUUUCUAAAUUAACUGAGACCUGUCUCAGAUAUUCAGCUUCACAUAUUCAUCUCAUCUUGGCCAUCUCAGCAAAGAAGCAAGAGGUAGAAAAUCCAUUUUUAUUAAUGACAACAUUAAAGCACAGAAUAUACUGUAGGAGACUGUCUCCAAUACUUUCCAGAAGUGUUUGCCACACCAAAAUCAGUGGCAUUUACUUUUGUGAGCAGAUAAUUAAUCUGUGCUACCAACUUCACAACUGAGUGGAAAUCAAGUAAGGUAGCUGAAAAAAAAAUACUGAAUCAUUUUAAUUACGAGUCCAUGAUUACCAAUGUGCUACGCACUGUAAAAUGAUUUUAUCAGCAAAUCUUUGCAACUCUAUGAUGCAACAUUGUUUUUACACAUGAGGAAACUGGAUUCAGCAAGGUGAGGUGACUUAGGUCACACAGCUUGGAGCAAGCGGAACAAGAUUUUAAGCCCUGAUACGUUUGCCUGAAGGCUUAGCUGUUUCCACUGUGAAUACUGACCUUUAAAUUAGGACGUGAACUCAACUGAAAAUCUUCUAACCCAGAGAUAUGAACCCACUAAUAAUCAUCCCAAAAGCCAUUCCUUAUUUGCUGUUUUCUAGGGUAUGGAGACCUUGGCAUUUCAGGAUCCAGUCUCUGUUUGAGAGGCAAUAUAGCUUUAGAGUUAGGCAUAUCUGCUAGAUAUAAGAUGCAAAAGCCAUGUAGCUUCUUUAUGUCUCAAUUUCCUUCUCGCUACAUUAUUAAAUUUGUAUACUAAUAUUUACUAGGUUGCAGAAGGGAUCAAAUGGGAAAAUUUUUCUAAGGUACUUAUCAUAGUACUUGUCAUGAAGUAACUUAUUGUCUCUUACAUAGUGCAUGGUUUUUGAGGCAUAUAUUGCUAAAUUACUCAUUUUUGGCCAGCACCUGGGUCCAGGUUAUUUAGGGCUUUGCCAUUUGGAGUGUGAACAGAGGAAUAGCAGCACUGGCCUCAUCUAGGAGCUGGUUAGAUCUACAGAAUGUCAAUCAUAGUUUCUGGCCUAGGCCUAUUGACCAGAGACCUGUAAUGUAACAAGAUCCUCCAAAUAUUUUUUUAUGUACAUGAGAUUUUGAGAAGCGCUUAAACAUAGAGUAUUUUCUCAUUCUUAUUGGCCUCUAUAAUAGGUAAGUCAGCUUACUUCUUCCAUUUCUAUCCAUCGUACUAUCCCUCUAUGUCUCAAUACAGAUACGCAUACAUACAGGCACAUACAUAUAUCUAUCUAUGUGUUUGCAUGUGAAUUUAUAUGUAUACUCAUUAUAUGUAUGCUUUGUGUCAGGCAGUAUGAUAAAAAGUUAGGUUUGUUAGUGAACAAGAUAGUCUUUGCUCUCCUAGAAUUUGAAAUUACUGGAGGACAAGCACCAUAAUCAAAAGGGGAAUCUCUCUGAAGGCCUAAGGUUGAACCAGAAAUAAGUUGCAGGGGGAUUCACAAGAAAGAAGGUAGACAUCCCACCUGAAAUUCAUGAAUUGGUCUUUCUACAUAGCCAGUGGUAAAGUCUGAUGAGAAGUCUCAGCUUCAUAACAUUAAAAAUUUAUUUCCAUGGGCUUGGGGAAUCCUGUGAGUCCAUGGGUUGUCAGUUGAAUCUGCUCAUACAAUAAUUCUUGAGGCGUCUUGGUCUAGAUUAAAUUCACUUUGGUGUGAGCUCAAGGGAGCCUCUAAUUGUUCCACUAGAGGAUUCAGUUUAUAGCCUCGCCUCCUAAACUAUACUAGGUGAAUGGAAUUAAGAACUCUUACUCAAAGUGAAGCUUGUUAAUUAGAGCUUAUUUAUUACUAUACUUUGUAAUCGUACAGAUUAUAAUUAUCAUUAUGUCAGAUAUUACAACUAUAUGGUAAUAUCAAUAAUUAUUGUUCUUUAGGUACUAGUAGAUUAUUAUUCAAUAGAUAGUAAAUAAUAUCACAGAAUUAUAUGUAAUUAUAAUUUAUAAUAUAUUAUUCAUGCAUCAUAAUCAGAUUUGUGAAUGGUUUUGAUUUUCUAUUUCAAAAUAUAAUAAAGUUUAAAGCUUGAGCUUUCCUCACAGAUGUGAUUCCUGGGUUGAUUGUUUCUCUAUUUUGUAGCCCGAUCUCUCAUCUAAUAAGUUAUUUACCAAGAGGUCAGUACAUAAAUGAGUUCCAUAAAGUCCUCCAAACUGAAUAGCACGUUGUCUCAUAUUGCAUUGAUACAUAGAAGUUUUGACAUUUUUAAAACCUCUGAUAGCAGAGGAAUAAGGAAGCCAGUUUGCUAACCUAAGAAAAGUAAACUUUUUUGGUGGGCUGAGGAAGUUAAGGAAACUGGCUCUACCUGGGUAUAUUGACUGAUUUACAUGCUUGCAUUUACUUUUAAAUUGUGUGGAUAUUGAAGUCUUCUCUCUCUUUAUAGCUAUGUUUUAUUCACAGCAAAGCAUAAGGACCAUUUUGAGGGGUGUAUUGAUUGGUGAGCAUUUGCUUUGAGUAUUCAGGAAUCCUAUCUGGACACCAUGCCACCACGUGGGAGAAGUCCUUUCAUAAGCUUACAAGAUAGGUAAUAUUUGAAUAUAUGAUUGUUCAGAAAUAAUUGAAAGAUAUAGGCUUGGCAGCUCUUUGGGGGUUGGAAGAAGACCAUGAAGCUCUAAGUGCUUCAGAGGAAUGGGGUUGCCAAAACAGAUGUGAGAGGCACAGAGAGGAGGCUGGGCCAGUGCUGAAGUGUGUUUUAUUAGGAUUUACUAAAGCAACGUCUUCAAAGGGGUGUUUUAGAAGAAG